AAAAACAAACAAGGGCAUACGGGGAAUGCCUAGGCUCUGCAAGGCGAAGAAGGACGUGAUAAGCUGCGAAAAGCCGCGGGGAGGUGCAAAUAACCGAUAAUCCGCGGAUAUCCGAAUGGGGCAACCCACCAUAUAAAUGGUACCUCGAAACGAGGAGCGAACCCUCUGAACUGAAACAUCUAAGUAAGAGGAGGAAGAGAAAACAACAGUGAUACCGCAAGUAGUGGCGAGCGAACGCGGCACAGCCCAAACCGGACACGUUUAGGCGUAUCCGGGGUAGUAGGACUGCGAGAUACAAGUAUAAAAAGAACCGGAACGGCAUGGAAAGGCCGUCCGUAGAAGGUGAAAGACCCGUACGGGCAAUUUUUAUACGCGUUAGCAGUAUCCUGAGUAGGUCGGGGCACGAGAAACCCAGACUGAAACCGGCGGGACCACCCGCCAAGGCUAAACACUCAGCAGAGACCGAUAGUGAACAAGUACCGUGAGGGAAAGGUGAAAAGAACCUUGAAUAAAGGAGUGAAAAAGACCCUGAAACCGUAUGCCUACAAGCGGUCGGAGCCCAUUUAUUGGGUGACGGCGUGCCUUUUGCAUAAUGAUCCUACGAGUUACUGUUACCGGCAAGGUUAAGCGCUUCAGGCGCGUAAGCCGCAGCGAAAGCGAGUCUUAAAAGGGCGGAUUAGUCGGUAGUAGUAGACGCGAAACCUUGUGAUCUACCCAUGGCCAGGUUGAAGUGGGGGUAACACCCCAUGGAGGACCGAAUCGGUAAGCGUUGAAAAGCUUUCGAAUGAGCUGUGGGUAGGGGUGAAAGGCCAAUCAAACUGGGAAAUAGCUCGUACUCCCCGAAAUGCAUUUAGGUGCAGCGUCGCGGUUAAGUGAUAUAUAGGUAGAGCUACUGAUUGAAUGCGGGGGCUUCACCGCCUACCAAUUUCAGACAAACUCCGAAUAGUAUAUCACAUACGCGGCAGUGAGGGCAUGGGUGCUAAGGUCCAUGCCCGAGAGGGAAACAACCCGGACCAACAGCUAAGGUCCCCAAAUAUACGCUAAGUUGAAAAAACGAAGUAGAACUGCACAGACAGCCAGGAAGUUGGCUUGGAAGCAGCCAUUCUUUUAAAGAGUGCGUAACAGCUCACUGGUCGAGCGGUUCUGCAUGGAGAAUAAGCGGGCAUAAGCGUAUUACCGAAGCUAUGGCAGAUAACAAUCUGGGUAGGGGAGCAUUCCGUACAGCGCAGAAUCGGUAUUGUAAAGUACCGUGGAGCGUACGGAAAAGCAAAUGUAGGAAUAAGUAACGAUAAAGCGGGCGAGAAACCCGCUCACCGAAAGACCAAGGGUUCCCCGGCUAUGUUAAUCAGCCGGGGGUCAGUCGGGCCCUAAGGACAAGCCGAAAACAGGCUACUCCGAUGGACAAACGUUUAAUAUUACGUUACUCGUAUCGAGUGCGACGGGGCGACCUGGUAAUACCUCUUCGCGUGCUGACGGAAUAGCACGUUAAAGACUUUACCGGGCCGGGAGGCAAAUCCCCCGGCGGAAAGGUAAAGUUGAUAGUACACCCAAGCUACGGCGACGGUGAUAGCAAGACUAAAGAUCAGCAAGAAAAACCUCUAAGCUUCAGCUCGAUACGACCCGUACCGGAAACCGACACAGGUGGUCGAGAAGAGAAUUCUAAGGUGCUCGAGAGAUUCAUGGCUAAGGAACUAGGCAAAAUAGACCUGUAACUUCGGGAAAAAGGUCACCGCAGCAAUGCGGUCUCAGAAAAUAGGUCCAGGCGACUGUUUAACAAAAACACAGGACUUUGCAAAAUCGAAAGAUGACGUAUAAGGUCUGACACCUGCCCGGUGCUGGAAGGUUAAGAGGAGAUGUCCGCAGCAAUGCAAAGCAUUGAAUUGAAGCCCCAGUAAACGGCGGCCGUAACUAUAACGGUCCUAAGGUAGCGAAAUUCCUUGUCGGGUAAGUUCCGACCUGCACGAAUGGUGUAACGAUCUGGACACUGUCUCAGCCAUGAGCUCGGUGAAAUUGUAGUAUCGGUGAAGAUGCCGA
rnacentral:rRNA from 1 species